GCUAAAGUCAGAUGCAUAACCAACUGAGCCACCCAGGUAUGAUCUGUCUGUGACCAGUCCCUGGCCCUGCUCCCCAGCCCAGGGAAUUAGGGAUCCUUUAGCUCCUGGGAGUGUGCAGAAUCCCCUGUCGCCACCAGGGAGCAGGAGACCCCGUGUGGUAGCAAUCAGAGAGAGAGCACAAACAGGAGAAGUGGCAGGCAGAGGGAG